UACGAAGGGGGCUAGCGUUGCUCGGAAUCACUGGGCGUAAAGCGCACGUAGGCGGCUCUUUAAGUCAGGGGUGAAAUCCUGGAGCUCAACUCCAGAACUGCCUUUGUUACUGGGGAUCUCGAGUCCGGAAGAGGUGAGUGGAACUCCGAGUGUAGAGGUGAAAUUCGUAGAUAUUCGGAAGAACACCAGUGGCGAAGGCGGCUCACUGGUCCGGUACUGACGCUGAGGUGCGAAAGCGUGGGGAGCAAACAGG
rnacentral:rRNA from 1 species